rnacentral:rRNA from 1 species
UACAGAGGGGGCAAGCGUUAUUCGGAAUUAUUGGGCGUAAAGGGCGCGUAGGCGGCUUGGCAAGUGGAUGGUGAAAUCCCUCGGCUUAACCGAGGAACUGCCGUCCAAACUGCUUCGCUUGAGACCGGGAGAGGUGAGUGGAAUUCCCAGUGUAGCGGUGAAAUGCGUAGAUGUUGGGAGGAACACCAGUGGCGAAGGCGGCUCACUGGACCGGUACUGACGCUGAUGCGCGAAAGCGUGGGGAGCAAACAGG